GGAUAUAUAGCUCAGUUGGUAGAGUGUUUGCCUAACAUGCAUAAGGCCCUGAGUUCAAUCCCCAGCACCACCA
rnacentral:tRNA from 1 species